CCGCCAAGCCCCCUUCAGGUAAGGAGGAGCAUGAGGUGGCUCCCGCCGCGCGCUUCCCCUGCGCCUCCCCGAGCCACGGGCAUGGGAAGAAAAGCCUCUGAGAAGCUUAGUGAGGCCACAGGGAAGAGGAAACCACCUUUUCCCCCGUAUUAUUUUAAUGUAAGGAAAGCAACUACAGUUCGUUUGAAAAUCAGAUGGUGAUUAAGUCAAGCUAAAUGAACAGCCUAUUUUUAACAGGAGUCAAUCAGCAGCUUCCGAAUUAAGGCAAAAGUGAUGAUGUUCCACUUGUGAGUAACUUCACAGUGGCUGGAGAUGCCCUUUUGCAGUGCAGACACUAAAAGAAAGCGCACGGAUCUCAAUAGAAGACAAGACAUAGUGUUUGUAGGAACAAAGAAAAAAUGCCAACACUUGCAAGUACUCACUGCAAAACAUUCUGGUGAUCUGUUCACAUCAUUGUGACAGCAACAAUAAAUCACAACUCUGCAACUGUUCAGAGGGAAAGUUUCCUGUGAACCUGAAGCCAAAGAUUAAGCCUUCAUUUUUCUUUUACACUUUUUUCCUACUGCUGACUAUAGCCAUGGUUUAUCUGUUCCAAACUGAGAUGAGCAGCUUCCUAUCAAGCCAAUGCUACUGGACGAAUUGAGUUUGAUAUGACUGCUUUGACGCCAAAAGCCACAAGCUAACUAGUAGUAAUUCCUAGGUAUGUCGAUGCUAAUUUUUAUUGCUGAUGCAUUUCAGAAAAAUAUCAGGUGGUAAAGAAGCACUAUAGUGCAAUCUGUUUCUCAAAACCUAAUCGUCUUGAAGCUUAAUAAACAUUUAG